rnacentral:misc_RNA from 1 species
GCUUGGGCACAGAGCAUCAGAUUGUCCCACCAAGAGAGCCUUUUAGUUCAGAUCCCAUAUAAAUCAGGUUUGUCAUCAAACAGAACAAAUUACAGGUUGCUGCUGGGAGUUCCUGUUCUGCUAUUUUGUUUGCAACCUGUAACUCUCCCAAGGGAGCAGUUGGGGGACCUGAAAUUUUUAUCAUCUCUCUCCAUCUCUCGCCUCUUCCCUCUCCCUCCCAGAAAUAGUUAACAAAGGCUGAUUGGAAAGUCAAAUCCAUUUUAAUGGAAUUUUAUUUGGGCGGUGAUUCGGUUAAAUAUUUGAUUCUGUUAAGUUGUAACAUAUUCUUUUACUAGAUUAUUCAAACAACGGACCUCUUGUUAUGGAUUCAUUGACGUUCAAUUAGUACCAAUUAUCUAAUCAUUUAGUGAGAAGAAUUAACUAAGGGAGAAUUAUUGGAUGGAUCGGGAGCAUUAAAAAAUAGUACUUUAUUAGAAAUAGAAUGU